GCGUAGGUGGCUCCAUAUGCAGAGAAGAAACAGCCGGUGUCACCCUGAGCCACUCGCACACAGGGGCACGGACACCCCCUCUCAUUAAAAACGGGUUGGAUUGCAUUCCAGGCCCAGCCUGCAAAGUUAAUGACGAGCUCGCAAUAAAGCACCCGCGUGGAUGUGAGCCUUGUACUGCCCCGCGAUGGCCGGCGUUUUUAUUAGUGGGCCUGGGCAGCGGGCCCGGCAGGCUGGUAUUUGACACGCAGACAAGGAUGUUCCCGGGCGCGCUGCGCGGCUGACUCACUUCAAAGUCCCAGCCCUGCUGGCUUGGUUUACACCUGAGCCAAUUAGCUCCGGAGAUCAGAAGAGGCCUGAAAACGGAGCCGAGCCCUUAUUCUCGGGAUGGAGAAAGUCACUUGAUCCCAGCAUCCUCUUCUACCACCUGUGUACACAGUU
rnacentral:lncRNA from 1 species